GAAUGCUAUAUAAUGUUUCAGGGCAGUGAGGGCAUGGGUGCUAAGGUCCAUGUCCGAGAGGGAAAGAACCCGGACCAUCAGCUAAGGUCCCCAAAUAUGUGCUAAGUUGACAAAACGCGGUGGGACUGCACAGACAGCCAGGAUGUUGGCUUGGAAGCAGCCAUUCAUUUAAAGAGUGCGUAACAGCUCACUGGUCGAGCGGUCCCGCAUGGAUAAUGAUCGGGCAUAAGCACAUUACCGAAGCUAUGGCAUCGAAAGAUGGGUAGGGGAGCAUUCUGUUCGGCGCUGAAGGGGCACUGUGAGGUGUGCUGGAGC
rnacentral:rRNA from 1 species